rnacentral:tRNA from 1 species
GCGCACGUGGCGGAAUUGGUAGACGCGCUAGCUUGAGGGGCUAGUGGGAUUAUUCCCGUGGAAGUUCGAGUCUUCUCGUGCGCA